GGACGCGCUUCAUGCAGAAGCUGAUCGCGGAGCGCCGCGCCAAAGGUGCCGGCGCGGACGUCGACGCGCCGCACGAUCUGUUCGGCCUCAUGGUGGCGGCGCGCGAUNGCGAUCCGGAAACCGGCGAAGCCUUCACCGACGAACAACUCGGCGAUCAGGUCUCCACCAUGAUCCUUGCCGGUCAUGAAACCACGGCGACGGCGCUGUUCUGGUCG
rnacentral:misc_RNA from 1 species